rnacentral:tRNA from 1 species
GCGCCUGUAGCUCAACGGAUAGAGCAUCUGUCUUCGGAACAGAAAAUGAGGGUUCGAUUCCCCCCAGGCGCA